UCUGGUUGAUCCUGCCAGUAGUUAUAUGCUUGUCUCAAAGAUUAAGCCAUGCAUGUCUAAGUACACACGAAUUAAAGUGAACCGCAAAAGGCUCAUUAUAUCAGUUAUGGUUCCUUAGAUCGUUAACAGUUACUUGGAUAACUGUGGUAAUUCUAGAGCUAAUACAUGCAAUUAAAACAUGAACCUUAUGGGACAUGUGCUUUUAUUAGGCUAAAACCAAGCGAUCGCAAGAUCGUUAUAUUGGUUGAACUCUAGAUAACAUGCAGAUCGUAUGGUCAUGUACCGACGACAGAUCUUUCAAAUGUCUGCCCUAUCAACUUUUGUAUGGUAGUAUCUAGGACUACCAUGGUUGCAACGGGUAACGGGGAAUCAGGGUUCGAUUCCGGAGAGGGAGCCUGAGAAACGGCUACCACAUCUAAGGAAGGCAGCAGGCGCGUAAAUUACCCACUCCCAGCUCGGGGAGGUAGUGACGAAAAAUAACAAUACAGGACUCAUAUCCGAGGCCCUGUAAUUGGAAUGAGUACACUUUAAAUCCUUUAACAAGGACCAAUUGGAGGGCAAGUCUGGUGCCAGCAGCCGCGGUAAUUCCAGCUCCAAUAGCGUAUAUUAAAGUUGUUGCGGUUAAAACGUUCGUAGUUGAACUUGUGCUUCAUACGGGUAGUACAACUUACAAUUGUGGUUAGUACUAUACCUUUAUGUAUGUAAGCGUAUUACCGGUGGAGUUUCUUAUAUGUGUUGAGAUACUUGUAUUUUUUCAUAUGUUCCUCCUAUUUAAAAACCUGCAUUAGUGCUCUUAAACGAGUGUUAUUGUGGGCCGGUACAAUUACUUUGAACAAAUUAGAGUGCUUAAAGCAGGCUUCAAAUGCCUGAAUAUUCUGUGCAUGGGAUAAUGAAAUAAGACCUCUGUUCUGCUUUCAUUGGUUUUCAGAUCAAGAGGUAAUGAUUAAUAGAAGCAGUUUGGGGGCAUUAGUAUUACGACGCGAGAGGUGAAAUUCUUGGACCGUCGUAAGACUAACUUAAGCGAAAGCAUUUGCCAAAGAUGUUUUCAUUAAUCAAGAACGAAAGUUAGAGGUUCGAAGGCGAUCAGAUACCGCCCUAGUUCUAACCAUAAACGAUGCCAGCUAGCAAUUGGGUGUAGC
rnacentral:rRNA from 1 species